CCAGAGGCCGGCGGGAGCUCCAGGUUCACCUCCUCUUCCUCCAGGAAAUCCCACUUCCAACUGGAUGUCUGGAUGAACUACUGAAAGCUGCUGAGUGUCCUGCAGCAGGUGAGCUGUGGCCAGAGCCCAAGGAUGAAGGGGGCUCCCUCACUCUGUGACUGUGAAGAGGAAGCCUGAGGUGUAGCAGGCCCUGGCCCCAGAAGUAUGGAAAAAAUGAGGUAGGGAGGGAGGGGACCUCAGGAGAAGACUGAGGUCUACAGAAUCCCAGGAUCAAGGGGAUGGUACGGUGUCCUGGCACUGUCCUUGAUGUUCCAAGAGGGGUGAGAAUCCAUCUCCUGAGUAAAAACUUCACAUAGGGUGAGGAGUGGAGGCCAAGACAGCGAUCAGCCUUACAGCAAUUUUAACCAGAAAUGGACACAGACCCUGGACCCCAUCACAGGAGUGCAGGCCUAGGACUGUCUCCAGGUGAGGCAUAGCUCCCUUGUCAGGUUAGUGGGUGCAGGGAUUGUGGCGUCUGCAGGGGUGUGGAAGGCUGGGCAACGGGAGCAGAUUACUGGGCUGGACAAGAAAUACUGAACUUCUUUUCCAUCAGUGAAAUCUGCUUCUGGGUCAGAAAAAACUGCGAGUUCUAGAGGGGCAGGGCCUAGGAGGAGGUCAGGUCCUGAGCCUUCCUGGUUUGACCCCCUCCUACCCCCUGUGUUUCUGGGUAUGUCCUCACUUCCACCCAGCGGAUCCUGAGUCUCUUCCUUUGAGUCCCUGUGAGUGUGUUGUGUGCAGUGGGGCCGGGCUGCUUCAUCCACUGCAAGUUAAAUGCUUCCAAUACUUUCUGGCCAAAGCUUAGAGUUGUCAGACCACUGACUUUGAAUGUUGAUCUGGUUCCUUGUGGAACAGAGUGGUAGCUAUUGAAGUUUAAAGUCACUUUCGUGCGUGGAUGGUAAAGAGGCAGGCUGUUCAGGCAUAACUGCCCUCAGGCCUGGAGGGCUGUGGAGGUCACCGUGGGCAUUGGGUGGAUCCGGAACCUCUGUGUCUCUAGACUUUCAACUAUUUCAUUUUUUCUUUUGUAGUUUUUGUUUGUUGCUUGCUUUUUUACAAUGGGAAGUAGAAUGUAAGAUGCCAAACUCAGCCUGUGGGGAACACGAAUUUUCACAACAGCAACCACAGAGCGUGGUUUCCAUUUCUAUUCCCUGUUCAUGUGGGAGGCAGAGAAGGAAAUCAGGUGCUCAGUUCCAGGGACAUCACAGGACUAGGACAUGUGCAGUGAGGGUGGAAGGCGGAGGCAUUGCUUUAGGAGAAUAAAAUUACUGCAUGCACACACAUAUGUAUGUAUAUGGAUGUAUGUACACAAACAUGCAUAUUUAUAGAUUCUGUUCUCCCUCUGUCUAUAUAAUUUUCUUUAACACUUGAUAUUAUUUCUAAAUUUAAAUACCUUUGAGACAAAUGUGAAUUGUGAAGGGACUUAAAAAUGUCAGUGAAAAAUGGAAUUAACAACAAAAAUAUAAA
ensembl:lncRNA novel transcript